rnacentral:rRNA from 1 species
GAUGAACGCUGGCGGCGUGCCUAAUACAUGAAAGUCGAGCGAACGGACGAGAAGCUUGCUUCUCUGAUGUUAGCGGCGGAAGGGUGAGUAACACGUGGAUAACCUACCUAUAAGACUGGGAUAACUUCGGGAAACCGGAGCUAAUACCGGAUAAUAUUUUGAACCGCAUGGUUAAAAAGUGAAAGACGGUCUUGCUGUCACUUAUAGAUGGAUCCGCGCUGCAUUAGCUAGUUGGUAAGGUAACGGCUUACCAAGGCAACGAUGCAUAGCCGACCUGAGAGGGUGAUCGGCCACACUGGAACUGAGACACGGUCCAGACUCCUACGGGAGGCAGCAGUAGGGAAUCUUCCGCAAUGGGCGAAAGCCUGACGGAGCAACGCCGCGUGAGUGAUGAAGGUCUUCGGAUCGUAAAACUCUGUUAUUAGGGAAGAACAUAUGUGUAAGUAACUGUGCACAUCUUGACGGUACCUAAUCAGAAAGCCACGGCUAACUACGUG